CCUACGGGAGGCUGCAGUCGAGAAUUAUUCACAAUGGGGGAAACCCUGAUGGUGCGACGCCGCGUGGGGGAAUGAAGGUCUUGGAUUGUAAACCCCUGUCAUGUGGGAGCAAAUUCACAAGAUAGUACCACCAGCGUACGAGACGGCUAACUCUGUGCCAGCCGCCGCGGUAAUACAGAGGUCUCAAGCGUUGUUCGGAAUCACUGGGCGUAAGGCGUGCGUAGGCUGUUUCGUAAGUCGUGUGUGAAAGGCGCGGGCUCAACCGGCGGACGGCACAUGAUACUGCGAGACUAGAGUAAUGGAGGGGGAACCGGAAUUCUCGGUGUAGCAGUGAAAUGCGUAGAUAUCGAGAGGAACACUCGUGGCGAAGGCGGGUUACUGGACAGUAACUGACGCUGAGGCACGAAGGCCAGGGGAGCGAAAGGGAUUAGAUACCCCAGUAGUC
rnacentral:rRNA from 1 species